rnacentral:rRNA from 1 species
CCUACGGGUGGCUGCAGUGAGGAAUAUUGGUCAAUGGGCGAGAGCCUGAACCAGCCAAGUCGCGUGAAGGAUGAAGGUUUUAUGAAUUGUAAACUUCUUUUGCAGGGGAAUAAAGUGUCCGACGUGUCGGAUUUUGUAUGUACUCUGCGAAUAAGGAUCGGCUAACUCCGUGCCAGCAGCCGCGGUAAUACGGAGGAUCCAAGCGUUAUCCGGAUUUAUUGGGUUUAAAGGGUGCGCAGGCGGGUUGAUAAGUCAGCGGUGAAAGUUUGCAGCUUAACUGUAAAAUUGCCGUUGAAACUGUCGAUCUUGAGUGCAAAUGAGGUAAGCGGAAUGUGUUGUGUAGCGGUGAAAUGCUUAGAUAUAACACAGAACACCGAUUGCGAAGGCAGCUUACUGGGAUGCAACUGACGCUCAUGCACGAAAGCGUGGGGAUCAAA